rnacentral:rRNA from 1 species
GUACACACCGCCCGUCACRCCAUGGGAGUUGGCGGCACCAGAAGUCGGUGGCUUMAACCUUCGGGRGGGCGCUGACCACGGUGUGGUCAAUGACUGGGGUGAAGUCGUAACAAGGUWKCCGUAGGUGAACCUGCAGAAGGAUCA